rnacentral:rRNA from 1 species
AGUGAACGCUGGCGGUAGGCCUAACACAUGCAAGUCGAACGGCAGCACAGUAAGAGCUUGCUCUUACGGGUGGCGAGUGGCGGAAGGGUGAGGAAUACAUCGGAAUCUACUUUUUCGCGGGGGAUAACGUAGGGAAACUUACGCUAAUACCGCAUACGACCUACGGGUGAAAGCAGGGGAUCUUCGGACCUUGCGCGAUUGAAUGAGCCGAUGUCGGAUUAGCUAGUUGGCGGGGUAAAGGCCCACCAAGGCGACGAUCCGUAGCUGGUCUGAGAGGAUGAUCAGCCACACUGUAACUGAGACACGGUCCAGACUCCUACGGGAGGCAGCAGUGGGGAAUAUUGGACAAUGGGCGCAAGCCUGAUCCAGCCAUACCGCGUGGGUGAAGAAGGCCUUCGGGUUGUAAAGCCCUUUUGUUGGGAAAGAAAAGCAGCAGGUUAAUACCCCGCUGUUCUGACGGUACCCAAAGAAUAAGCACCGGCUAACUUCGUG